GGUCAACAGAUUAUGCUGGCGCAACUGUUUUCGCGACGUUUCCAAGUGUUUCUGCAUGAACGUUUGCUCCGUUGAAACACGAGUCAAUUCCACUGAGUCGGUCUCCGAGAGAUCAUUGCCGGUCUUACGUAACUGACGUUGUUUACUGAUUCAUAAAACUUCAAUUGCUGUGUCAAUACAGAAUGCUGAUUGGUUAGCCAAUGAUCGUAUUGCAUAUGCGCCUGUCGAUCUUGCUCGUUUAGGAUAAUUUCCGGUGGCGUUGGUGGUGCUGGUAUAAGGGGGAUAUUGAAGGCGGAGUCUGCGUGGCGAUAGGUUGUCUAGGCACUUGAGUGGUCGCUAAUUUAGCCGAAUCGGGUACACCAGUUUGCUGCCAACCGGUACCAGGCACUGAUGGAGGUCUAGUCGUGCAGGGUGGUCUGAUCACUGGUACACCCGCUGCGGGUACCAUGGCCUGAGGUGGCGAUGACGCUCCCAAAACGUCAGCUCUGAGUCUCUCAAAGUCGCUGUCACUCAGAAGACCACCACUGCUAGAGCUCCUCCAGCAAUAGCGGCUGCUCCUGUGAACAUAACUGCUGACAGUCAAGCUCGCUUCUGAAUACAUGAGAUAAUAAGUCAUGGGGCUGUUUUGGAUAUGAAAUCAGGGAUAUAAAAUGGAUUUAAAUUGAAGAGUGAGAGAUAAGAUUGUCGAGAUUAAAGGAAUGUAGUAUUCGUAAGGAUAAGUAAACCAACGGCACUAAUGCAAAGUAUUGUAAUUGCAUUUUUUGAUAUUUUAUUACCGAAAUUCUCAAAUUGCCCAAAACAAAUUGCAAAUUCAUAAAACAGAGAUUCUCUAUUUAAUUAAUAUUUUACUUUUUUAUUUUAAAUGAUAAAAACUAUAAAUGAUGACUAUAAUAAUAAAAAAUUAGAUAAUUUUGUAAAAAUUAGUAAUAAAAUACUUUUUUUCAUCGUUGUCGAAUGUGGAGUGAAACGUGCCUGUCGAUUGGAUUGGGAUUUAUUGGAGUCUCCUGAAAAAUUAUUAAACAAUGUAUAUUAUUUGACAAGUAUAAUACACGUAAUUUAAGAGUUAAAUAAUCGUUUAACAAUUGUGAGGACGUUGAUAUAAUUGUAAGACUCCAAGGACUCUGGAAUCGGAGAAUUUGAGAAUCUUUUAAGAAUAUCCUGGAACUUUUUAAGGUUUCUAAAGAACUGAGGUUCCUUGUUACUAAUAUUUAUUAACUGAGGGACUUUUAAGAUUCUCUAAGAAUUUUUCAAAAUCCUAGAGGAAUCUAUAAAAAUUCGUGAGGAAACCAUAUUUCUAGAAAAUCGGGUUGUCUUUAUUCUCUAUUACGAAUUAAAGAUAUAUGGAAUCUAGGUAAAUCUAUAAACUCUCACGCACCGUUCGCACACGCGCGAAUAACACACGCACACAUCACACAUAUACGCGCACGCACACACAUGCAGUACAAGGAUUUUAGACACUGAGACAUUUUAUAAAAAAAAGCAAUGCUUAGGAUUACAAAAAAAGGGACAAAGAAUUAAAUAAGUUAUUCACAUCAUUAAUCAAAUCAAGAUCGUGCAAAUACGCAUGCAUACGUCUAAAAGUGCAUAUCAAUGAUAAAUUAAUUAUAAAGAACAUAAGUGCAUCUCUCUUAGAUGCAGGGUGUGUUACAGUUUUCCUAUAUUCUUACAAUAAGAUAUUCGAGUACACAGUACGAAAUUUAGAAGCAAUUUUCCUCAAUUUAAUACUCAAUCGAAUAUAAUUCUCAAAUUUCUAACGAGGCUAACUUUUCAUCAGAUUUUGUAGGCGCAUUUCUUUAUCGUAGCAUGUAGAAUAUUAUAUCGCAUAUUAUAUACAUAUCUUAUGUUAUUGAAUAAGCAAAGAAUCCAGAAAAUAAUAUGGGUUAAUGAAACCAAUAUUUUUCAUUAAAUGAUAUAAAAAUAAAAAAUGGCAAAACUAUGAUCCAUCAAAAUUAGAAAUCGCGAUUUCUAUUGCGCGCAAUUUUCAACUUUGAAGAGUCAUAGCAUUGUCACUUUUAAACUUAUUUUUAAUUUUAUUUUUAUUCUAAUCAUGACCGUUAGUCAUAUUUAAGUUAUACUAUUUGUUUCAUCUCUUAUCUUCUGUAUUGGCUUGUUCAAUAACAUCCUGUAUAUUAUUGCAGAUAUAAUAUAUCUGUCCUUUAAAUAGAGAAGUGUUUUGCUAGAGGAUUCUCCUGUGAAUGAGGUAUCAAAGAGCUACGUUCUCAUUUUCCUGAUGCGAGGGAGAAGGUAAGUCAUGUUGGAAACUGCCCCGAAUCUCGCUCACCUGCAG